GACGAACGCUGGCGGCGUGCUUAACACAUGCAAGUCGAACGGAAAGGCCCUGCUUUUGUGGGGUGCUCGAGUGGCGAACGGGUGAGUAACACGUGAGUAACCUGCCCUUGACUUUGGGAUAACUUCAGGAAACUGGGGCUAAUACCGGAUAGGAGCUCCUUCUGCAUGGUGGGGGUUGGAAAGUUUCGGCGGUUGGGGAUGGACUCGCGGCUUAUCAGCUUGUUGGUGGGGUAGUGGCUUACCAAGGCUUUGACGGGUAGCCGGCCUGGGAGGGUGACCGGCCACAUUGGGACUGAGAUACGGCCCAGUCGCCUACGGGAGGCAGCAGUGGGGAAUAUUGCACAAUGGGCGGAAGCCUGAUGCAGCAACGCCGCGUGCGGGAUGACGGCCUUCGGGUUGUAAACCGCUUUCGCCUGUGACGAAGCGUGAGUGACGGUAAUGGGUAAAGAAGCACCGGCUAACUACGUG
rnacentral:rRNA from 1 species